rnacentral:rRNA from 1 species
GACGAACGCUGGCGGCGUGCCUAAUACAUGCAAGUUGAGCGCUGAAGGUUGGUACUUGUACCAACUGGAUGAGCAGCGAACGGGUGAGUAACGCGUGGGGAAUCUGCCUUUGAGCGGGGGACAACAUUUGGAAACGAAUGCUAAUACCGCAUAAAAACUUUAAACACAAGUUUUAAGUUUGAAAGAUGCAAUUGCAUCACUCAAGGAUGAUCCCGCGUUGUAUUAGCUAGUUGGUGAGGUAAAGGCUCACCAAGGCGAUGAUACAUAGCCGACCUGAGAGGGUGAUCGGCCACAUUGGGACUGAGACACGGCCCAAACUCCUACGGGAGGCAGCAGUAGGGAAUCUUCGGCAAUGGACGAAAGUCUGACCGAGCAACGCCGCGUGAGUGAAGAAGGUUUUCGAAUCGUAAAACUCUGUUGGUAGAGAAGAACGUUGGUGAGAGUGGAAAGCUCAUCAAGUGACGGUAACUACCCAGAAAGGGACGGCUAACUACGU